rnacentral:lncRNA from 1 species
GGAGGGCCUCCUGUCAGGAAACCCCACCUGCAGUUUGGCCCUCAGCCACGAGGUGGCACUGUAGACUGCUUUGAGCGACUCUUGGGCAGAGGCUGCAGGUGAUUCUGGAGGAGUGUGGAGUCUCUUGGUUUCCCUCCCAGAGCAGCCACAGGGCAGGCAGAUGUGAGAGCCAGAGAAACCCGAGGUAAGAGAAUGACAUCUGGAAAGUGGAGCCAGGUGAGAUGCCCCGGGAUAUCUCCAGAGGAAUCCAAUAUUUAUAGAUAAUUCACAAAAUAGAAAAUACCACCAGCUAACACACAUUGGGGAACCUUCCAUGUCCUGGAGGGGUGGCAGAUCAAUAGCGGGGGCGGAAGUUCCACUGUGAGAAUGUGUGACUCAGUGAUUGGGGGCCUGGUCCCAGGGCGAUAUGUGCCCAGGUGAGAACUCAGAGGGUCCUGCAGUGGGAGGGUCAAGGCUUGGCUCCUUAAAUUCCAGUCUCUGCUGGGGCUGAGAGAAUUGCUUGGGUGGGAUGGGGUCGGUUCCCACAGGGGAUCCUUGAGAACCCAGUGUGUCUGACCUUAGCUCUUAUCAUCCAGGGAAGAGAUUUCUGAACUGAAACUGCCUCAAGGAGAGGAGAGUCAGG